rnacentral:rRNA from 1 species
AGCGAACGCUGGCGGCAGGCCUAACACAUGCAAGUCGAACGAACCUUUCGGGGUUAGUGGCGGACGGGUGAGUAACACGUGGGAACGUGCCUUUAGGUUCGGAAUAACUCAGGGAAACUUGUGCUAAUACCGAAUGUGCCCUUCGGGGGAAAGAUUAAUCGCCUUUAGAGCGGCCCGCGUCUGAUUAGCUAGCUGGUUGAGGUAAUGGCUCACCAAGGCGACGAUCAGUAGCUGGUCUGAGAGGAUGAUCAGCCACAUUGGGACUGAGACACGGCCCAAACUCCUACGGGAGGCAGCAGUGGGGAAUCUUGCGCAAUGGGCGAAAGCCUGACGCAGCCAUGCCGCGUGAAUGAUGAAGGUCUUAGGAUUGUAAAAUUCUUUCACCGGGGACGAUAAUGACGGUACCCGGAGAAGAAGCCCCGGCUAACUUCGUG